UGACAGAUGAGGAAAGUAGCACAAGCUGGGAAACUAGCAAAAGCUUAUAUUUCUAUACCUAACACAAGAUGUUAUUCUUUCAUUCAUACUAACGCAAGCCGGGAAACUGGCAAAAGGAAACUAGCUGACAAGAUCCUUUCUGGCUUUCUCCAAGAACAUUCACUCAUGUUCUUUUGGAUAAUUUACUUGUCAAAUUUAUAUAUAUAAUACAUGGAAGAGGUCCUGCAGGUAACUCUAGUUGUCAAUUUUUCAAGAUUCAGCUAUGGCAUUUAUGGCUUUUUUCAGUCAUUGACUAUGUGGGUUUAUCUUGUCCUUCUACCAG
rnacentral:misc_RNA from 1 species